rnacentral:rRNA from 1 species
ACACUCCUGCGGGAGGCAGCAGUGGGGAAUAUUGGACAAUGGGCGCAAGCCUGAUCCAGCCAUGCCGCGUGAGUGAUGAAGGCCCUAGGGUUGUAAAGCUCUUUCACCGGUGAAGAUAAUGACGGUAACCGGAGAAGAAGCCCCGGCUAACUUCGUGCCAGCAGCCGUGGUAAUACGAAGGGGGCUAGCGUUGUUCGGAUUUACUGGGCGUAAAGCGCACGUAGGCGGACUAUUAAGUCAGGGGUGAAAUCCCGGGGCUCAACCCCGGAACUGCCUUUGAUACUGGUAGUCUUGAGUUCGAGAGAGGUGAGUGGAAUUCCGAGUGUAGAGGUGAAAUUCGUAGAUAUUCGGAGGAACACCAGUGGCGAAGGCGGCUCACUGGCUCGAUACUGACGCUGAGGUGCGAAAGCGUGGGGAGCAAACAGGAUUAGAAACCCCGGUAGUCC